rnacentral:rRNA from 1 species
GAUGAACGCUGGCGGCGUGCCUAAUACAUGCAAGUCGAGCGAACAGAUGAGGAGCUUGCUCCUCUGACGUUAGCGGCGGACGGGUGAGUAACACGUGGAUAACCUACCUAUAAGACUGGGAUAACUUCGGGAAACCGGAGCUAAUACCGGAUAAUAUAUUGAACCGCAUGGUUCAAUAGUGAAAGACGGUUUUGCUGUCACUUAUAGAUGGAUCCGCGCCGCAUUAGCUAGUUGGUAAGGUAACGGCUUACCAAGGCAACGAUGCGUAGCCGACCUGAGAGGGUGAUCGGCCACACUGGAACUGGGACACGGUCCAGACUCCUACGGGAGGCAGCAGUAGGGAAUGUUCCGCAGUGGGCGAAAGCCUGACGGAGCAACGCCGCGUGAGUGAUGAAGGUCUUCGGAUCGUAAAACUCUGUUAUUAGGGAAGAACAAAUGUGUAAGUAACUAUGCACGUCUUGACGGUACCUAAUCAGAAAGCCACGGCUAACUACGUG